AUGCCUUCUCCUUUACAGCGCGAUGGGCGGAAGCUGGCCACAGCCCUGCCCAACUGCAGCCUCUUCCUGUACUACGCACUGGGCCGGCAAUUUUACGUCAUGGAGAAGCUGGCCGAUCGCUGGUUCCGAGCGCGGGACCGGGUCACCGGGGAGAGCAUGCUGAUGAAAAAGGUGCCCGUGGUCUCCGACUGGAAGAAGAUGUUACACAAUUUCCUGUUCCUGCCCCCUCACCCCACGUUGCUGGUGCCCUACGCCGUCCUGUACGACCGCAGCGGCUCCAUCCUCUACCUCAUGGAGGACAGGGACGUGUGCGCGGUGGGGCGGCCGCCCGAGGGGCCCGGCCUGGAGGGAGCUCGAGCCCUGCGGGAGGUGCUGAGCUUCCUGAGCUUCUGCAAACGCCACCACUUCCACCCCGGGGACGUCGGCGCAGCCUCCAUCUACACGGCCCAGGGCAUCUGCUUUGACCCCAGCAGCCUGUCCAGCAGCGAGGACCCCUACACCUUCCGGAAGAGCGUGAAAACCUGCCUGCGCCCGCUGCUGGCCCAGCACCAGGUGAGCUGGGCACGCAGGGGCGGCUGCCGGGCUGGGCUGGGCGGGAUGGGGGCUGGUGGGGUGGCUCAG
rnacentral:lncRNA from 1 species